UAUGAAGAACGUAGCGAAAUGCGAUAAGUAGUGUGAAUUGCAGAAUUCAGUGAAUCAUCGAAUCUUUGAACGCACAUUGCGCCCCAUGGUAUUCCGUGGGGCAUGCCUGUUCGAGCGUCAUUUACCCCCUCAAGCUCCGCUUGGUGUUGGGCGUCUGUCCCGCUUCGCGCGCGGACUCGCCCCAAAGGUAUUGGCAGCGGUCGUGCCAGCUUCUCGCGCAGCACAUUGCGCUUCUCGAGGCACCGGUGGGCCCGCGUCCAUCAAGCUCACCCCCCCAGUUUGACCUCGGAUCAGGUAGGGAUACCCGCUGAACUUAAGCAUAUCAAUAAGCGGAGGA
rnacentral:misc_RNA from 1 species